CACGAACCGGACAAACGUUAUUCGGAAUCACUGGGCUUAAAGGGUGCGUAGGCGGCCUGACAAGUUGGGUGUGAAAUCCCUCGGCUCAACCGAGGAAUAGCGCUCAAAACUGUUGGGCUCGAGGGAGUUAGAGGUAAGCGGAACUUAGGGUGGAGCGGUGAAAUGCGUUGAUAUCCUAAGGAACACCAGUGGCGAAAGCGGCUUACUGGAGCUCUUCUGACGCUGAGGCACGAAAGCUAGGGGAGCGAACGGG
rnacentral:rRNA from 1 species